GACGAACGCUGGCGGCGUGCCUAAUACAUGCAAGUCGUGCGGACCUUGUUGAAAGCUUGCUUUUAAAAGGUUAGCGGCGGACGGGUGAGUAACACGUGGGCAACCUGCCUGUAAGACUGGGAUAACGCCGGGAAACCGGGGCUAAUACCAGAUCGUUUUUUCCUCCGCAUGGAGGAAAAAGGAAAGGCGGCUUCGGCUGCCACUUACAGAUGGGCCCGCGGCGCAUUAGCUAGUUGGCGGGGUAAUGGCCCACCAAGGCAACGAUGCGUAGCCGACCUGAGGGGGUGAUCGGCCACAUUGGGACUGAGACACGGCCCAAACUCCUACGGGAGGCAGCAGUAGGGAAUCUUCCGCAAUGGACGAAAGUCUGACGGAGCAACGCCGCGUGAGUGAAGAAGGCCUUCGGGUCGUAAAACUCUGUUGCCGGGGAAGAACAAGUGCCGUUCGAACAGGGCGGCGCCUUGACGGUACCCGGCCAGAAAGCCACGGCUAACUACGUG
rnacentral:rRNA from 1 species